rnacentral:rRNA from 1 species
CAUGCUAUACUGCAGUCGAGCGAAUGGAUUAAGAGCUUGCUCUUAUGAAGUUAGCGGCGGACGGGUGAGUAACACGUGGGUAACCUGCCCAUAAGACUGGGAUAACUCCGGGAAACCGGGGCUAAUACCGGAUAAUAUUUUGAACUGCAUGGUUCGAAAUUGAAAGGCGGCUUCGGCUGUCACUUAUGGAUGGACCCGCGUCGCAUUAGCUAGUUGGUGAGGUAACGGCUCACCAAGGCA